UACGUAGGGUGCAAGCGUUAUCCGGAAUUAUUGGGCGUAAAGAGCUCGUAGGCGGUUUGUCGCGUCUGCCGUGAAAGUCCGGGGCUCAACUCCGGAUCUGCGGUGGGUACGGGCAGACUAGAGUGAUGUAGGGGAGACUGGAAUUCCUGGUGUAGCGGUGAAAUGCGCAGAUAUCAGGAGGAACACCGGUGGCGAAGGCGGGUCUCUGGGCAGUAACUGACGCUGAGGAGCGAAAGCCGUGGGGAGCGAACAGG
rnacentral:rRNA from 1 species